CCUACGGGAGGCUGCAGUGGGGAAUAUUGCACAAUGGGCGAAAGCCUGAUGCAGCAACGCCGCGUGAAGGAAGAAGGGUUUCGGCUCGUAAACUUCUAUCAACAGGGACGAAAGAAAUGACGGUACCUGAAUUAGUAGCUCCGGCUACCUACGUGCCAGCAGACGCGGGAAUACGUAGGGGGCAAGCGUUAUCCGGAAUUACUGGGUGUAAAGGGUGAGUAGGCGGCAUGGUAAGCCAGAUGUGAAAGCCAUGGGCUUAACCCGGGGAUUGCAUUUGGAACUAUCAAGCUGGAGUGCAGGAGAGGAAGGCGGAAUUCCUAGUGUAGCGGUGAAAUGCGUAGAUAUUAGGAAGAACACCAGUGGCGAAGGCGGCUGUCUGGCCUGAAACUGACGCUGAGGCACGAAAGCGUGGGGAGCGAACAGGAUUAGAUACCCGGGUAGUC
rnacentral:rRNA from 1 species